AUUGAACGCUGGCGGCAUGCCUUACACAUGCAAGUCGAACGGCAGCACGGGAGCAAUCCUGGUGGCGAGUGGCGAACGGGUGAGUAAUAUAUCGGAACGUGCCCAGUCGUGGGGGAUAACGUAGCGAAAGCUACGCUAAUACCGCAUACGAUCUAUGGAUGAAAGCGGGGGAUCGCAAGACCUCGCGCGAUUGGAGCGGCCGAUAUCAGAUUAGGUAGUUGGUGAGGUAAAGGCUCACCAAGCCGACGAUCUGUAGCUGGUCUGAGAGGACGACCAGCCACACUGGGACUGAGACACGGCCCAGACUCCUACGGGAGGCAGCAGUGGGGGAAUUUUUGGACAAUGGGCGCAAGCCUGAUCCAGCAAAUGCCGCGUGCAGGAUGAAGG
rnacentral:rRNA from 1 species